rnacentral:rRNA from 1 species
CGGGGUGCAGCAGGCGCGAAAACUUUGCAAUACACGAAAGUGUGACAGGGCUAUCCCGAGUGCCAUCCGCUGAGGAAGGCUUUUACCCAGUCUAGAACGCUGGGGGAAUAAGGAGAGGGCAAGUCUGGUGUCAGCCGCCGCGGUAAUACCAGCUCUCCGAGUGGUGUGGAUGUUUAUUGGGCCUAAAGCAUCCGUAGCCGGCUAAGUUAGUCCCUUGUUAAAUCCACCGAAUUAAUCGUUGGAUUGCGGGGGAUACUGCUUGGCUAGGGGACGAGAGAGGCAGACGGUAUUUCCGGGGUAGGGGUGAAAUCCUAUAAUCCCGGGAAGACCACCAGUGGCGAAGGCUGUCUGCUAGAACGCGCCCGACGGUGAGGGAUGAAAGCUGGGGGAGCGAACCGGAUUAGAUACCCGGGUAGUCCCAGCUGUAAACGAUGCAGGCUAGGUGUUUGGACGGCCACGUGCCGUUCUAGUGCCGCAGGGAAGCUGUUAAGCCUGCCGCCUGGGGAGUACGAUCGCAAGAUUGAAACUUAAAGGAAUUGGCGGGGGAGCAC